rnacentral:rRNA from 1 species
UACGUAGGGGGCAAGCGUUGUCCGGAAUUAUUGGGCGUAAAGCGCGUGUAGGCGGCCAGAUAAGUCCGCUGUGAAAUCUCGAGGCUCAACUUCGAGCUGUCGGUGGAAACUGUCUGGCUAGAGUCCGGAAGAGGAGAAUGGAAUUCCUGGUGUAGCGGUGAAAUGCGUAGAUAUCAAGAGGAACACCUGAGGUGAAGACGGGUUGCUGGGCUGACACUGACGCUGAGGCGCGAAAGCUAGGGGAGCAAACGGG